rnacentral:rRNA from 1 species
CCUACGGGAGGCAGCAGUAGGGAAUAUUGCUCAAUGGGGGAAACCCUGAAGCAGCAACGCCGCGUGGAGGAUGAAGGUUUUAGGAUUGUAAACUCCUUUCGUUAGAGAAGAUUAUGACGGUAUCUAACGAAUAAGCACCGGCUAACUACGUGCCAGCAGCCGCGGUAAUACGGAGGGUGCAAGCGUUACCCGGAAUUACUGGGCGUAAAGAGUGCGUAGGCGGGGUAAUAAGUCAGAUGUGAAAUGCUGUAGCUUAACUACAGGACUGCAUUUGAAACUGUUACUCUGGAGUGUGGGAGAGGUAAGUGGAAUUCUUGGUGUAGGGGUGAAAGGCGUAGAGAUUAAGAGGAAUACUAGUUGCGAAGGCGGCCUGCUGGAACAUAACUGACGCUGAGGCACGAAAGCGUGGGGAGCAAACAGGAUUAGAUACCCUAGUAGUC